CAAAGGAGCAAUCCGCUGAAAGAUGGGCUCGCGUCCGAUUAGGUAGUUGGUGAGGUAACGGCCCACCAAGCCGACGAUCGGUAGCCGGACUGAGAGGUUGGACGGCCACAUUGGGACUGAGACACGGCCCAGACUCCUACGGGAGGCAGCAGUAAGGGAUAUUGGUCAAUGGGGGAAACCCUGAACCAGCAACGCCGCGUGAGGGAAGACGGUUUUCGGAUUGUAAACCUCUGUCCUCUGUGAAGAUGAUGACGGUAGCAGAGGAGGAAGCUCCGGCUAACUACGUGCCAGCAGCCGCGGUAAUACGUAGGGAGCGAGCGUUGUCCGGAUUUACUGGGUGUAAAGGGUGCGUAGGCGGCUGUGCAAGUCAGUAGUGAAAUCCAUGGGCUUAACCCAUGAACUGCUAUUGAAACUGCACAGCUUGAGUGAAGUAGAGGUAGGCGGAAUUCCCGGUGUAGCGGUGAAAUGCGUAGAGAUCGGGAGGAACACCAGUGGCGAAGGCGGCCUACUGGGCUUUAACUGACGCUGAGGCACGAAAGCGUGGGUAGCAAACAGGAUUAGAUACCCUGGUAGUCCACGCUGUAAACGAUGAUUACUAGGUGUGGGGGGACUGAACC
rnacentral:rRNA from 1 species